CGUACACUCCUACGGGAGGCAGCAGUGGGGAAUAUUGGACAAUGGGCGCAAGCCUGAUCCAGCCAUGCCGCGUGAGUGAUGAAGGCCCUAGGGUUGUAAAGCUCUUUCACCGGAGAAGAUAAUGACGGUAUCCGGAGAAGAAGCCCCGGCUAACUUCGUGCCAGCAGCCGCGGUAAUACGAAGGGGGCUAGCGUUGUUCGGAAUUACUGGGCGUAAAGCGCACGUAGGCGGAUCGAUCAGUCAGGGGUGAAAUCCCAGGGCUCAACCCUGGAACUGCCUUUGAUACUGUCGAUCUGGAGUAUGGAAGAGGUGAGUGGAAUUCCGAGUGUAGAGGUGAAAUUCGUAGAUAUUCGGAGGAACACCAGUGGCGAAGGCGGCUCACUGGUCCAUUACUGACGCUGAGGUGCGAAAGCGUGGGGAGCAAACAGGAUUAGAAACCCCUGUAGUCCCA
rnacentral:rRNA from 1 species